rnacentral:rRNA from 1 species
CCUACGGGUGCCAGCAGUGGGGAAUAUUGCACAAUGGGGGAAACCCUGAUGCAGCGACGCCGCGUGAGUGAAGAAGUAAUUCGUUAUGUAAAGCUCUAUCAGCAGGGAAGAAAAUGACGGUACCUGAGUAAGAAGCCCCGGCUAACUACGUGCCAGCAGCCGCGGUAAUACGUAGGGGGCAAGCGUUAUCCGGAUUUACUGGGGGGAAAGGGAGCGUAGACGGGAGUGCAAGUCUGGGGUGAAAGGCGGGGGCUUAACCCCCGGACCGCUCUGGAUACUGUACGGCUGGAGUGCAGGAGAGGUAAGUGGAAUUCCGGGUGAAGCGGUGAAAUGCGUAGAUAUUAGGAGGAACACCAGUGGCGAAGGCGGCUUACUGGACUGUAACUGACGUUGAGGGUCGAAAGCGUGGGGAGCAAACAGGAUUAGAUACCCGGGUAGUC